GAUGAACGCUAGCGGCAGGCUUAAUACAUGCAAGGCGAGGGGGCAGCAAUGUCACCGUCGUACGGGUGCGUAACGCGUAUGCAACCUACCUUCAACUGGGGGAUAGCCCGGGGAAACCCGGAUUAAUACCGCAUGACACAUUGGUAUAGCAUUAUAUUAAUUGUUAAAAGAUUUAUUGGUUGAAGAUGGGCAUGCGUUCG
rnacentral:rRNA from 1 species